rnacentral:lncRNA from 1 species
UUAAAACUUCACGUCUUUCUCUUAUUCUUUCUUCUCAUCACCAGAAAUAAAGGAGAAUUCCCUGGUUUUUGUCUUCCUUUAGUCAUAGCAGAUAUUCCUAAUUUUAUGUUCACCAAAAAACAAUUAAUCCUCCAAUUUUAGCUUACAUUAAUUUCACCAACAACAAGAAAAAGAGAGAUCUCUAUAGCUAGCUUACACAAAAAAAAGACAGAAAAAUUAAGAAACUAGCUGCUGCUGCUGCUGCUGCUGCUAUACUUACAUAUCUCACUUAAUUUUAUUUUUUUUGAUGUCAAAUAUAAUAGGUGAAGAAGGGAGUUUGUCUUCAGGAAAUACUGGAGAAGAAGUCCACCAACUAAUUGUUCAUGAUCAAGAACAACAGCUUCAGCUUCAGCCACAACAACAUGAUGAUCAAUUCCAUGGCGGCGGCACGAAUAAUAGCAGUGGCUCAAGCUCCCAACAACACCCAGCUGCUAAGAGGAAAAGAAAUCUACCAGGAACUCCAGGCAAUUACUUCGAUCCUUCCUUCCAUGAUCAACCUGGCCUAUAUAUGAAUUAAUUAAUUCUUAAAAUUAUCUAGUAUUUUAAUCUCUAAUCACCUGUAUCCAAAUAGUAUAAUAUUUUCGCUUAAUUAUGAUUAAGAGGUUAUAUGUAUAUAGACUGUAAGUAUUGACUAUAAUUAUAUGUACAUCAGCAUGUUUAAUUUAAUUACUUCCCACCACCACCACAUAAAUUUUUCUUUAUGCAGUUUUCUAAAAGAAAUGCUAUUUUAAUGGUUCAAUUAUUGCUUAUAAGAAAGAUUACAAUAAUUGGUUAAAAGUACUGUGCUUGAUUGCACAAUUUGC